rnacentral:rRNA from 1 species
GACGAACGCUGGCGGCGUGCCUAAUACAUGCAAGUAGAACGCUGAAGGAGGAGCUUGCUCUUCUGGAUGAGUUGCGAACGGGUGAGUAACGCGUAGGUAACCUGCCUGGUAGCGGGGGAUAACUAUUGGAAACGAUAGCUAAUACCGCAUAACAGUAGAUGUUGCAUGACAUUUGCUUAAAAGGUGCAAUUGCACCACUACCAGAUGGACCUGCGUUGUAUUAGCUAGUUGGUGGGGUAACGGCUCACCAAGGCGACGAUACAUAGCCGACCUGAGAGGGUGGUCGGCCACACUGGGACUGAGACACGGCCCAGACUCCUACGGGAGGCAGCAGUAGGGAAUCUUCGGCAAUGGACGGAAGUCUGACCGAGCAACGCCGCGUGAGUGAAGAAGGUUUUCGGAUCGUAAAGCUCUGUUGUAAGAGAAGAACGAGUGUGAGAGUGGAAAGUUCACACUGUGACGGUAUCUUACCAGAAAGGGACGGCUAACUACGUG